rnacentral:rRNA from 1 species
UGGGGAAUAUUGCACAAUGGGCGAAAGCCUGAUGCAGCAACGCCGCGUGAGCGAUGAAGGCCUUCGGGUCGUAAAGCUCUGUCCUCAAGGAAGAUAAUGACGGUAUUUGAGGAGGAAGCCCCGGCUAACUACGUGCCAGCAGCCGCGGUAAUACGUAGGGGGCUAGCGUUAUCCGGAAUUACUGGGCGUAAAGGGUGCGUAGGUGGUUUCUUAAGUCAGAGGUGAAAGGCUACGGCUCAACCGUAGUAAGCCUUUGAAACUGGGAAACUUGAGUGCAGGAGAGGAGAUUGGAAUUCCUAGUGUAGCGGUGAAAUGCGUAGAUAUUAGGAGGAACACCAGUUGCGAAGGCGGCUCUCUGGACUGUAACUGACACUGAGGCACGAAAGCGUGGGGAGCAAACA